rnacentral:hammerhead_ribozyme from 1 species
AUGCAGCCGAUGAGUCCCAAAUAGGACGAAACGCGCGUCAAACUAGAU